CAUUGAAACACUGGUUCCCAUAGGGUCACUGAAGUUAAGCAAUGUCGAGCCUGGUUGCUACCUAGAUGAGUCACUGCUUUGGAAUACCAGGUGCUGUAAG